rnacentral:lncRNA from 1 species
CCAGGUCAGCCUUAUUCUAUGUAGGAGAGAACCACACAGUGUGAAUAUGAGUAGGCAAGAAUCAUUCAGGGACAUCUUGGAGGCUAGUCACCACAAGUUUAUGCAACAGAUGACUUCCCAUCUCAAUUCUAAUCAUUCGAAAUUUCUCAGUUGGAUAAUUUUUAUUAAACACUCACCAUCAUUUACAUAUCUAAAUUUAUCACCCUAUGAAACCAGUCCAUGUUUGCCUUUUAUUAUCUUGCUUGACUGAAACUUCAUAUUAGACUCACAGAACUUUAGAUGCUCAAUGCACAGCUUUUUUUUACAGACAAGAGGGGAAACUCACAUGUGCAUACCCUGUAGCACAAUUUUUGUCUCUACCCUUUGGUUUUCAGACCCAUGAGUUCUGAAUUUGGGGGAAUAAUGUCAUAUAUUGGUACCUGGCUUAAGAUAUUUUUCAUAUUCUAUUGGAAAAUGCCUCUUUUCUUCAGUUUUACUAUGUACUUCAACUUAUUUCUAGAUGCAUGAACUUAUUAAUGCCACUAAUGUAAUAUGUAAGAUCUUUAAUCCUAAGUGAUCAAAUUUUGCUU